CACGUAGUUAGCCGGUCCUUAUUCUUCCGGUACCGUCAUCCACACCUAAUAUUAGUAAGUGCGAUUUCUUUCCGGACAAAAGUGCUUUACAACCCGAAGGCCUUCUUCACACACGCGGCAUUGCUGGAUCAGGGUUGCCCCCAUUGUCCAAAAUUCCCCACUGCUGCCUCCCGCAGGAGUCUGGGCCGUGUCUCAGUCCCAGUGUGGCUGAUCGUCCUCUCAGACCAGCUACUGAUCGUCGCCUUGGUGAGCCUUUACCUCACCAACUAGCUAAUCAGACAUCGGCCGCUCCUAUAGCAUGAGGCCUUGCGGUCCCCCACUUUCACCCUCAGGUCUAUGCGGUAUUAGCUAAUCUUUCGACUUAGUUACUCCCCCAUACAGGGCACGUUCCGAUGUAUACUCACCCGUUUCGCCACUCGCCAUCAAUCUAGCAAGCUAGAUCAUGCUCGCCGUUCGACUUGCAUGUGUAAGGCAGUGCCGCAGCGUU
rnacentral:rRNA from 1 species